rnacentral:lncRNA from 10 species
GAAACCUUUAACAACUGAACUAAUUCUGGAAAGUUGCCCAUAUCAGAUAUCUUCAGAAAUCACUUUGGAAAAUGCCUUUAGGAAGGUAGGACACCUCUUCCCAUUUGUCUUAUGAUGGCAGGUCCAGAGCUUACAUGAAGAGGCAGUGAGGCAAAGAUGUAAAGAAUAUGGACUCUUCAGUCAGACCUGGGAUGAACCCCGGCCAUUACCUACUCACGGAGGAGCCUGGGCCACUUAUCUAACCUCUCUGAGGCUCACUUUCUGCGUCUAUCAAAUGAGAAUAGCGCUACUAUCUGCUGUAUGAAACACUGACCGAGUUAAGCAAAAUAAUGCAGGUUAGCUGCUUAAUCCAGUGUCUAGCACAUAGCAAGUGCCAAAAAUGUGAGCGAUUAAAAGGGGUCUUUUACUAGCACUGGCCACAUCCCCAUCUUAUCGCUUUAUCUUCCAUUGAGCAGAGGUUCUGCCAGGUGCAGGGGACAAGGGAGAAGAAAAGACACGCACAUUCUCCUGGGCUUCAAAGUUGUCCCAUCCUUCUGUGAUGUCAUAAUCUGAGCCAUAGCCCACAAAUGUGAACUCCAACAACCCCCAAACCCAGUCCUCACCUCCCACAUGCUUUUCAUCACCCGCUCUCACAUCCCAUCUGGGGCCUCUGCUUCCAUCCUACCAUUUCGCAAGCCUGGCCAACUCAAGCUCCGUGUGCUGCACCUAGAGCAGCCCAUCUCUGUGUCAGGGAGGUGAGCUGCUCAGUUGCCAGAGUAUCAACCUGAGCCCAGGACACUGCCAGACUGCUGAGUCAAAGAGGGUUUAGCAGCCCAUUUUCAUAGACAGACAGGUGAGAGGAGGAUGCUGGACAUGGUCCCAGAGACAUGGGGACUCAAGAAACAUGAAGAUCUGUUCACAGCUAAGGGCACAUUUCCAUGCCGAGAAAUCAGGCGUGAGCGCAAGAGUCCUAUCGUCUACCAGAAAAAGAAAUCUUUGGGAGCAUUCAAGGAGGAAUGGCUUCAUGAUGGCAAUGAGCGGCAUCGCCUGAAAGACAGCCUUCGAGAGUCUCCCAGAGCCGCUGAGGAGCAAGGCAGAGAACUGCAAUCCAAGCAAAUGUGGUGGGUGUGAAGCUUUCAAGAAGUUGGGUCAAGAACAAGGACUGAAAGAGGAGCAUCAAUUUAUGGGGGCCACUGAGGCUUUCAGAGAUUUUGUGACCUACCAAACUGGCACAGCUAGUAAAUGGAUGACAAGCCAUUAACAUGGAAAGAAGAAGAGGCAUCCAAAGUGUUGGGUCCGCAUCGCCCUUGCCUUGGAGGAAGCUCCAAAUAGAGGGAAGGAUGGUUUCCAGCAGUCCCUGAAGUGCCUUUCCUCCUUCGUGGGAUCCAGUUACACCCAGCAGACUUCAGUUUGAAUAAACAGAACUAGAUGAAUACACCUAGGGAAUCUGUGAGGCCAGCCUCAGCUUUUAACAUCCAGCUACAGGGAGGUGAGAGAAGCUUCAGCCAGUUGUUUUCUAAGAGCGAGAUAAAGAAACCACCCUCCAAUUAUGCAUCAAAUUCUGCUUCACAGUUGAAUAAGGGGCAUGAAAUCGGAUGUUUUUCAAGCUCAAUAUAAAGCAGUGGAAAACCUACCUCCCCUCUCCCUCCAUAAAGAACAUCUAAACGCACAGCAUUUAAUUUCCGAAUAGGGCAAUGUUCUUUUUAAGGGAAAUGUUAAGCAGGGAUUAGAGACACGAUGGGCUGUGUAACUCUAUCCUCAGCCCUCUCCUUGUUAAUAGUAAUUUUUUUUUGGCGGCGUCUGUGCAGAGAUGUGGGAAAAACCAAAGUCUUAUGUAAAUGAGAAUUGACACAUGCUCGAUAAACCAAACGCCAGACCUGAGAUCUUAAUUACACAGGAGUCUAGAUGUCAAAAUGAAUGCAGCUUAUUGACGUUCAGAGAUUUCACUCGGUAUUAAGUUGGACGACCUUCUUCCGGGACCAGAGAGCAAAGCGCUGGUUUCUCAUUACCCAGGGCCAUCUUCACAAAUGGCAAAGAGCUGUGUUCAUGCCUAGACACUUUUCUAGGUGGAAUAUAUCCCUGAACCACAACACUUAACACCUGCUCAUAGUGGGACAAGCAAAACAAGAUGUUUUCAGGUGUGGGACAAACCACUGCUAAUUGACCAAGGGCUCUUCUGAGCAGAGGUCCCUAACUGCACCCUCUCUCUCCACUCAGCCCCCACCUCCAUCGUGCCUAUUCAUGUAGUCUCAUUCGUGCCUCUAAGGCAUUGCCAGGGGCACUACUUCAACUUCAACAACUAAUACUCCUGUGAGAUACACAAGAGCAUUAGUAGUCACUUUUUAAUGUCAAGAAACAAAGUCCAUAAUUACUAAGCAUUUAUGUUGCUGAAGAUGAGAACACUUGGCAGCUUGGGUAGCUCACAAAGCAGCUCCUGGUAGACUAGGUUUACUGGCCCAUAGCUUUAUUCGUUAGUGGAGACAAUGGCCAUUACCCUAAGCAGCACAGGCUCUGUUUUUAAAGGGAGAGAAAGCUACUUUCAGGCUUGGGCAUAACCAAACAGUGCUCAGUGGGAGUCAGGUUCUUUGCCUUGAAAUAGAAAAAUAAUACACCCUUUCCCUCCACCUCCACUAAUUAAAGUGUCAGGAUGGAGCCCCGACACUGACUUGACACAUGACAUGAUGUCUCGUGUAAUUGGACGUGUUUCACGCUAACAUCAAAGCCUCGUCAAGGAUGAUGGAGCGAGAUGUUUAGUGCAUGCCUGUUGCAGUCUGACAUAUAACUCCAUCCAGCUUCAUUCACAGGCUCUCGCUCACCGGGAGAUUAACCCGCCAGGCUGCUGAGUGAGAGGGGACAGAGUAGGCCCUGACGGGAGGCCUGGGACGCAGGGGAAAUCAAAACAAGUCCACCUGCUUAAGGAGACUGCCGCACUGUGACCUCGUCCUCCGGACAUCUGUGGCAAGUGUUACCGCAGCCACUGAUGUGGCGCACUGGGCCAUUUACAGCUGCCUCAUGAUAUUCUUUUUCACGACUGUGUUUACACUAUUGUUUAACAACUUUGUAUAACAAUCUCUUUUCACUCCAAAUAAACCUUAGUGCCUGGAAGGCCAAGAGUAUCUUCAGUAUGUGUCUAUCCUAGUAAGCUUCUCAAAUGAUACAGAAUUUUUCGUUUUUUUUAAAAAUUUCCAACCUCUCAUGUGCCAAUACUUUUGUAUAAUCAAAAUGAUUAGAAAAAUGAACAUGGACUAGGAUGCCUUAGUAGUGUCAAAUGACUAUAAAUGUGUCUAAAUGCUUAAUGUAAAUUUCUUGUCAUAGACCAGUAACACACAGUUUGCUAACUGGCACGGGUCUGUGGACCUCAUUUGAUUAUCAUUAAACCAGAACAACUAGAAUGCCUGGUACAAUAGGGAGCAAAGAAUAUCUUCUCAAUAUGGAACUGCUGAUUGAAUAUGUGUAUGAAUUAUAACAUAUAUACACAUAUUACAAUGUACACAUAUGGAAUACAUUCACACCAAAUACUGGUAUAUGCACAUACGUUCAAUCAAAUUAUACUUUAUACCAUAACAUAUGUGUAAAUAAGAAGAUGGGGUUUACAAAAGGAAGACCUAUACUUAGGUUUUUAAAAAAGUGCAUUAGGUAACGAGUUGGCACCAUGACGCUCUCUAUGGAAAGGUAUAGGUGGAUGAGGAAGAAUGACUGAGCAGUGCUUCUCCUGUGCUCCAUGCUGUAAUUCUCCAAGCUCUGUGUGGGACUGGUGUUCACACCCAUAUUUACCCAAGAGGCAGUGAAGCUCACUGAGGCUACGCGAUUUGCCAAGGUCACGCUGCUAUUUAGUGAUGGAGAUGGGAUUCAGGUACAGGACUGUCCGGCUCCACAGCCUGCGUUCUAUGGCACCACAUUGUUCAGUGGUGUCACAGGGAGCUAUGCUUUGUUCAUAUGACACACAGUACAAAGAGAAUGGCUGUGUUCCUACCUCCACCUCCAAGCAAAGACCACCAUAAAAUAAUCACAAGGGGCUGGCCUGGGUAGGUUUUGAGUGAGAAGAAGUCCAACUGAUGAACUUCUAGGAAAAGUUUACUCCCUCCUAAGAAAAAAGCAUGGAGAAAAGAUGACCCCCUUCUUCUGCUGGGGAUUGAAACAUCGGGAUAGGAUGGCCAGGACAUCCCUCAGUCAUCUUUUUU